CGGGUGAGUAAUGUAUGGGGAUCUGCCUGAUGGCGGGGAUAACUACUGGAAACGGUAGCUAAUACCGCAUAAUGUCUGCGGACCAAAGCGGGGGACCUCCGGGCCUCGCGCCAUCAGAUGAACCCAUAUGGGAUUAGCUUGUAGGUAAGGUAACGGCUUACCUAGGCGACGAUCCCUAGCUGGUCUGAGAGGAUGAUCAGCCACACUGGAACUGAGACACGGUCCAG
rnacentral:rRNA from 1 species